UACGUAGGGUGCAAGCGUUACUCGGAAUUACUGGGCGUAAAGCGUGCGCAGGCGGUUUGUUAAGUCCGUUGUGAAAGCCCCGAGCUCAACUUGGGAAUUGCAGUGGAUACUGGCAGGCUGGAGUACGGUAGAGGAAGGUGGAAUUCCCGGUGUAGCAGUGAAAUGCGUAGAUAUCGGGAGGAACACCAGUGGCGAAGGCGGCCUUCUGGACCAGUACUGACGCUCAUGCACGAAAGCGUGGGGAGCAAACAGG
rnacentral:rRNA from 1 species